GCUAACGUCCGUAGUCAAGAGGAAAACAAUCCAGACCGCCAGCUAAGGCCCCAAAAUCAUAGUUAAGUGGGAAACGAUGUGGGAAGGCAUAGACAGCUAGGAGGUUGGCUUAGAAGCAGCCACCCUUUAAAGAAAGCGUAAUAGCUCACUAGUCGAGUCGGCCUGCGCGGAAGAUGUAACGGGGCUAAAACUAUGUGCCGAAGCUGCGGAUGUAUACUUUGUAUACGUGGUAGGGGAGCGUUCUGUAAGCCGAUGAAGGUGUGUUGAGAAGCAUGCUGGAGGUAUCAGAAGUGCGAAUGCUGACGUGAGUAACGACAAAACGGGUGAAAAACCCGUUCGCCGAAAGACCAAGGGUUCCAGUCCAACGUUAAUCGGGGCUGGGUGAGUCGACCCCUAAGGCGAGGCCGAAAGGCGUAGUCGAUGGGAAAAUGGUUAAUAUUCCAUUACUUCUGUGUAAUGCGAUGAGAGGACGGAGAAGGCUAAAUCAGCCUGGCGUUGGUUGUCCAGGUGAAAGGAUGUAGGCAUGUAUCUUAGGCAAAUCCGGGGUACUCUAUGCUGAGAUCUGAUAGCAAGCUGUACUUGUACAGCGAAGUGGUUGAUGCCAUGCUUCCAGGAAAAGUCUCUAAGCUUCAGUUACACAGGAAUCGUACCCGAAACCGACACAGGUGGUCAGGUCGAGUAGACCAAGGCGCUUGAGAGAACUCUGCUGAAGGAACUAGGCAAAAUGGUACCGUAACUUCGGGAGAAGGUACGCUGUUGUUGGUGAUGGAACUCGCUUCCUGAGCUGACGACAGCCGCAGAAACCAGGCCGCUGCAACUGUUUAUUAAAAACAUAGCACUCUGCAAACACGAAAGUGGACGUAUAGGGUGUGAUGCCUGCCCGGUGCUGGAAGGUUAAUUGAUGGGGUUAGCGUAAGCGAAGCUCUUGAUCGAAGCCCCAGUAAACGGCGGCCGUAACUAUAACGGUCCUAAGGUAGCGAAAUUCCUUGUCGGGUAAGUUCCGACCUGCACGAAUGGCAUAAUGAUGGCGGCGCUGUCUCCAGCAGAGGCUCAGUGAAAUCGAAAUCGCUGUGAAGAUGCAGUGUACCCGCGGCUAGACGGAAAGACCCCGUGAACCUUUACUGCAGCUUGACACUGAACUUUGACCUUACUUGUGUAGGAUAGGUGGGAGGCUUUGAAGCUGGAACGCUAGUUCCAGUGGAGCCGUCCUUGAAAUACCACCCUGGUAAUGUUGAGGUUCUAACUCUGUCCCGUGAUCCGGGACGAGGACCGUGUCUGGUGGGUAGUUUGACUGGGGCGGUCUCCUCCUAAAGAGUAACGGAGGAGUACGAAGGUGCGCUCAGCGUGGUCGGAAAUCACGCGUAGAGUAUAAAGGCAAAAGCGCGCUUAACUGCGAGACCCACAAGUCGAGCAGGUACGAAAGUAGGUCUUAGUGAUCCGGUGGUUCUGUAUGGAAGGGCCAUCGCUCAACGGAUAAAAGGUACUCUGGGGAUAACAGGCUGAUACCGCCCAAGAGUUCAUAUCGACGGCGGUGUUUGGCACCUCGAUGUCGGCUCAUCUCAUCCUGGGGCUGAAGCAGGUCCCAAGGGUAUGGCUGUUCGCCAUUUAAAGAGGUACGCGAGCUGGGUUUAGAACGUCGUGAGACAGUUCGGUCCCUAUCUACCGUGGGCGCUGGAAAUUUGAGAGGAUCUGCUCCUAGUACGAGAGGACCAGAGUGGACGAACCUCUGGUGUACCGGUUGUGACGCCAGUCGCAUCGCCGGGUAGCUAUGUUCGGAAGGGAUAACCGCUGAAAGCAUCUAAGCGGGAAGCCUACCUCAAGAUAAGAUUUCCCUAGGACUUUAUGUCCUCUAAAGAGCCGUUCGAGACUAGGACGUUGAUAGGUUGGAUGUGGAAGCAUAGUGAUAUGUGAAGCUGACCAAUACUAAUUGCUCGUGAGGCUUGACUAU
rnacentral:rRNA from 1 species